ACAACGCCCUCCAGUGUUAAAAUCUUAACAGUUGGUAAGAUUAUGAAACCGGAUUAAGGAAGAAAAGAAACAAAUAUGUCAAAAUUGUUUUAAAAUAUGAAAAAGCUGAUAUGUAAAAUAAUAACAUUACAAUCUACACUUUCAGUGUCCUUUAUUUGAUGACCUAAAAAUUAUUUCAGCUCGACAGGUGCCCGGAGGCCGCCAUCUUGUUUUCGCAGUGACCAGGAAGAAAAUAACAAACACUUAAAAUAUAUCAGUGUUUUAUUCAUUUUUGAUCAUCUCCAAAAUGGUAUUAGCUCCAACACCGAUUUACAGGCCUUCUAAACCAAUAAAGGUGUGAAUUAUGGAGACGACGGCUGUGGAGCCCGGUCCAGGACAGCAUCUGAAUGACCUGCAGAACUACCUGGUUCAUUUUGGUAAGGAAAUCGAGACGGCAACUCAACCCACAAGUGAUCAACUUCAGGACAUAACCCUGUUGCAUCCCGCCAGCCAACAUGUUGCAGAUGCGGAAAGCAGCACAACAUCCAUUACUGAACUACCAACAUCGAAACCAGAACAGGCGGGAGGCUCGCAGUUCAGUUCUGGUUUCUAUACGGAGCAGCCAGUCAUGGCGGCGUCCCUGGGAGCAUCUGUUCAGGAGCUGUCAGGAAUGACGCCUUCAAUUUCGGCAGCCGGAGCCCAAAACAUUGGCAGCAACACCACCAUAAACACUGAGCCAGACCAGAGCGAGAGUGAGUCGAAACAGCAGGAGGAAUCGGCCGAUGCUCUGGAGAACUACCACGACUAUAUUGCCAGUCUGACGGGAGAGAAGAUGGACGGUGAAGAACUGACGGUGGAGCCGGUGACCCUUGCUCAAGAGCUUGCAGUCAAUUCGAUGAUGGAAGGCCUCGUAGCCCAGACGUCUGCCGGCAAGAUGAUAAGGAUCGUUUCCGUGGGCAACGACGGGACGAUGCAGCUGGUCGGAGAGGAAAUGCCAGCUGGGAUGAGCAUCGCAAACUUGCAACUCAAGCAGGAGCCGCACAGUGAACUGGACGACAUAGGUGGUGUUGGCACUAAGCACUCCGGUGUUAUUGAUGGCACGGACCCUGUUGCCGUCCUGGCCUCCGUGGCCACAAACACGUCGAGUGUGAACCAGAUCCAAAAUGUGUGUAGGGGAGACGUGAACGAUGCUCAGCUGGUCGCCUUGCAGAAUUCGGCCGACAGCUCACAGCCUCAGCUUGUGGCUGUGCAGGGAGCGUCGGGCGAAACCAUGCAGGUCAUUGGUGGAUCGGAGGCUCUCUCGGGACAAGGGAACCAGAUGAUGCUCAAUUCCUUUCAGACGGUGACUAUCGUUCCAUCGGAGGUGAACCAGGAAUCGGGUGUUGUGAGCUACGUUCUCAUUGUUUCGCCAGACGGCGACAAAGAAGGCAGCGAAAAACACAUAUCAUUGGACAUGGCUGGGUACGAUCUGAAGGACGAAGCGUUGAGGGAAGUUACCGAGGAGAUCAUCCAGGAGGACGGGACGAUGCACCGAGUCCUGAAAAUUACUCCGCAGAACUUCUUCCCAGGCUCCCAGACCCAGCUGGUGUGCAACAUCUGCAACUACACUAGCCCCAAACGGUACCUGUUGUCGCGACACAUGAAAACUCAUUCCGAAGACCGCCCGUACAAGUGUAAUAUUUGCGAGCGGGGAUUCAAGACCCUGGCCUCUCUAACGAAUCACGUGAACACACACACGGGCACGAGACCACACAAGUGUAAAGAUUGUGAAUCGUCGUUCACCACAUCCGGGGAACUCGUGCGGCAUGUUCGGUAUCGUCAUACGUUUGAAAAACCUCACAAGUGUCCCGAAUGCGACUACGCUUCUGUAGAGCUGAGCAAACUUAAACGACAUAUCAGAAUGCACACGGGUGAGCGUCCGUACCAGUGUCAGCUGUGUAGCUACGCCAGCCCUGACACGUAUAAACUGAAACGACAUUUACGAAUACACACUGGUGAGAAGCCAUACGAAUGUGACCUUUGCCAUGCCAGAUUCACUCAGAGUAACAGCCUGAAGGCGCACAAACUGAUUCAUUCCGGCGACAAGCCUAUUUUCCAGUGCGAGCUUUGUCCGACUACAUGCGGCAGGAAAACCGAUUUAAAGAUACACUAUCAGAAACUGCACACCAGUGAACACCCACUCUUGUGUCGGAAGUGUGGCCAGAACUUCCCCGACCGCUAUACGUAUAAACUGCAUAUAAAACAGCAUGAAGGCGAGAAGUGCUUCAAGUGCGAAGAAUGUGAUUACGCGGCUCUCUCUCAGCGCCAUCUAGAAAGUCACAUGUUGGUGCAUUCGGGAGAAAAACCGUUUGAAUGCAACGGCUGUGAUCAGACUUUCCGACAGAAACAGCUGUUACGUCGACACCAAAAUCUUCACCACACUCCAGGAUAUAUUAAACCGGCUUCCAAGUCUAAGUGCUUCAAAUGCUCUGAUUGUGACAAGACCUUUGCUCACCGCGGAUAUUUAGUCGGCCACAUGGAAUCUCACGGAAAGCAUAUGUCGUUUUCGGAGUCUGAAGAAGAAACUGAUGUGAACGAUUUGCCGACGAUUUCAGCUCAGCACGUCCUCGAGAGUAACCUGAUGCAGGAAUGGCGGGACGGCAAGCUGGGGAACUCGCCGCAAGUCGUUAUUGUUCAUCCAGACGGCAGGGUGGAGGAAGUCACUCCCAAGCUGCAGGCUCCGCCUGACCGGACAGUUGAUGACUUACUGGAGGCAAUAAGUGCUCAUACAAGUGGAACUCAGGGAUCCGAGGAAGGCACAAAACAGAUGAUGGAGGGGACAAAACUCCGGAAAUCAGACAAGGCGCAGCAAAAGGGACUGGACGAAAAUGAUGGGUCGGAGAAGGGUGAAAAUAGGGAAUCAGGGGCAAUUAGAAGGCAGGGAUCCCAGGAGAUUGUGUCGGAAGGUGUCGAUGAAGGUCAGUCAGCUGAGGUUAGUCGGUCAAACCAGGAACAAGUUUGCCAUCAGAAACAGACACAGACUGGGUGUACUGCUGGUGGAGAGACGGCGACGAAAGGAACAGAACAAUGUCAGAUGAAAGAGGCUGGUACUCAGGCUACAAUAGACUCGGAUUCUGAAGAGGACACCUUCAAGCCAAUGAUCGUUUCUUAUCGAACCAUCACCAGUUUUGAGAAAAAAGCAAAAGCUGUGAAUGUGGACAAAAAUGUAAACAUAAAUGAUAGACGUCGAUUGGCAGUUAAACCUACAGAUGGCAAAGAAAAUUUGGCCUCAACAGCAUUAGUUACUGGAAAUACCAGUACUGGGAGCUCAAGUAUUGGUAACAAAUGUGUAUCAGUUGUAUCAAGUGAUAGAUCUUUUAAAACAAACAGCAGUACACCUGGCAGCACAGCACAUAUAUUUUCUUCACAUCUUAAAGAAACCGGUACCGCCACAGCUUCAGCGGGUUCUGAGAGAGAUGCACCAAAGCCAGGAUCUUCCACUGCAGUCAUGACAAUGACACCUGUAUCCACAGAGUCUAAAAACACAUCAUCUCCGUGUGUAUAUUCCAACGUUGAAUCGGGACAAGUGAUUCAGGUUUCCAACUCUAGCUCACCGCUGUGUUCACACUCCGAUCUCACGGUACUGGAAAAUCCAGACUCAAGUGAUUACGAUCUGCAGUGUGACGAUUCGAACACUGAUUCAUCGCAGGUCCUGGAUUCAGACAGCACUGUGGCUCCAGCAGGCCAUGUUUCCAAACCCACUGUGACAGUAGGGAUCGGUUCUCAGUUAGAUUUAAAUAAGGCUGCUGUCUCAGCAUCGCUGUUAAAGCAACAUGGGACUGCAGUAGACAUCCUUAAAUCACAGUCACCUGAUAGACUCACAAGAAGCAUGAAAAGGAAAGAGAUUGAGCUGGAAGCUUCACCGGCCAAGAGAACAAGACGAGCGACCACAACUGACUCAAAGUAGUUUGUGUAUUCAUAACAAGAGGAAGACCAUGCUGGUGACAUUUACCAAGAGACAUGUAAACUGCUACACACUGGAUAUCCUAGAUGUAUAUGGUGUUCUUUAUCAAGACAUUGCAUUCUCUGUAUAUCCUAGAUUUUGUGUUAGGCCAAAAAAAAAAUUGUUUGUUUUUGGUCACCCGACCGACCCUAAAUUUUGCCACUGACACUGAACUUUUUUUUUUUCUGCUGGGGUGGGGUGGGGGGAAGCGCACAGAGAAGUUGUGGUCAAGUAGGAUAACUCUUACACGUCAGUGUGUGUGUUAAAUGGAGGUUGGGGGGGGGGGGGGGGAGCAGCGAUGCUUUUUAUACACCUCCACCCCACUUUUUGGCACCUUCUUACGCUGUGCCCUGGACCCAAUCACUGGCGUUCUUAGAGACUGGACCCAGACUAGACAUGCCUGGACUUGGAAUCAUUAACACGUGCUCUUAUUAGGUACCACAGUAAUUGGUGACACGCGAGAUCGCAUGACAGUACGGUAACGUGUGUGGCGAUCAAACGUCUUUUAUUACAAACUGCUAAAUACUGUAGGCUAUAGAGGAAAAUAUAUCGUAUUAUCGUAACUCCAGUCAUCUCAUACAUUGUAGGUUUAUUUUCCAAAAACAACAAUGUGUGAUCUCAACAAAACAAUCAAGGAUUUCUCGAUACCACAUGCACAGACUACAAGUUAUAGCGCUUUUUUCCGCAUGCAAAGGUGAAGGUCAUUUGAAGAAGACGUACAAUUUUCAUUGUUGGCUACUGCUUAGGCCUAGUACCCAGAAUUUGUUAAUAUA
rnacentral:misc_RNA from 1 species